rnacentral:rRNA from 1 species
GGUAGCCGNCCUGAGAGGGUGACCGGCCACACUGGGACUGAGANACGGCCCAGACUCCUACGGGAGGCAGCAGUGGGGAAUAUUGCACAAUGGGCGMAAGCCUGAUGCAGCGACGCCGCGUGNGGGAUGACGGCCUUCGGGUUGUAAACCUCUUUCAGCAGGGACGAAGNGNNAGUGACGGUACCUGCAGAAGAAGSACCGGCNAACUACGUGCCAGCAGCCGCGGUAAUACGUAGGGUGCAAGCGUUGUCCGGAAUUACUGGGCGUAAAGAGUUCGUAGGCGGUUUGUCGCGUCGUUNGUGAAAACCNNCAGCUCAACUGCNGGCUUGCAGGCGAUACGGGCAGACUUGAGUACUGCAGGGGAGACUG